rnacentral:rRNA from 1 species
AGGACGAACGCUGGCGGCGUGCUUAACACAUGCAAGUCGAGCGGAAAGGCCCUUCGGGGUACUCGAGCGGCGAACGGGUGAGUAACACGUGAGCAACCUGCCCUUAGCUUCGGGAUAGCUCCGGGAAACCGGAAUUAAUACCGAAUAUGACUUUGGCUGACAUCAGCAGUAGCGGAAAGUUUUUCGGCUAGGGAUGGACUCGCGGCCUAUCAGCUAGUUGGUGAGGUAACGGCCCACCAAGGCGACGACGGGUA